rnacentral:tRNA from 1 species
GGGCCUGUAGCUCAACGGUAGAGCGAAUGUCUUAUACACAUUAUGUUGGAGGUUCGAAUCCUCCCGGGCCCA